UACGUAGGGGGCAAGCGUUGUCCGGAAUCAUUGGGCGUAAAGAGCGUGUAGGCGGCCCGAUAAGUCCGCUGUGAAAGUCCAGGGCUCAACCCUGGGAUGCCGGUGGAUACUGUCGGGCUCGAGUCCGGAAGAGGAGUGUGGAAUUCCUGGUGUAGCGGUGAAAUGCGCAGAUAUCAGGAGGAACACCAAUGGCGAAGGCAGCACUCUGGGACGUGACUGACGCUGAGGCGCGAAAGCUAGGGGAGCAAACGGG
rnacentral:rRNA from 1 species